rnacentral:rRNA from 1 species
GAUGAACGCUGGCGGCGUGCCUAAUACAUGCAAGUCGAGCGAACAGACGAGGAGCUUGCUCCUCUGACGUUAGCGGCGGACGGGUGAGUAACACGUGGAUAACCUACCUAUAAGACUGGGAUAACUUCGGGAAACCGGAGCUAAUACCGGAUAAUAUAUUGAACCGCAUGGUUCAAUAGUGAAAGACGGUUUUGCUGUCACUUAUAGAUGGAUCCGCGCCGCAUUAGCUAGUUGGUAAGGUAACGGCUUACCAAGGCAACGAUGCGUAGCCGACCUGAGAGGGUGAUCGGCCACACUGGAACUGAGACACGGUCCAGACUCCUACGGGAGGCAGCAGUAGGGAAUCUUCCGCAAUGGGCGAAGGCCUGACGGAGCAACGCCGCGUGAGUGAUGAAGGUCUUCGGAUCGUAAAACUCUGUUAUUAGGGAAGAGCAAAUGUGUAAGUAACUAUGCACGUCUUGACGGUACCUAAUCAGAAAGCCACGGCUAACUACGUG